CCCAAAAACAAUACGCGCAAGUACCUGUGUUAAAACGCUCCAGGCUAUACAAUACAGGGGACGCUAUAUAAGUGCCAAAGUACUGUGACAUACAUGGAUCACUCGACUGCUUGACCAGACGUGGAGAGUGGUAAAGUCUGGCACUUGGAUUUUCAUCCACACCAGCAAAAUUUUAAUAAGUCUGAUAGUGCCUUCUGCAGAAGCAGCAUGCAGCACGGGAACUUGAUAGUGACCAGCUUCCAAGCUGUAGAAUGUGAAAUCCCAACAGAUACCGGUAGUAAUUUCUCCUAGGGAGGCGGAAUACGGUCCCUGCGAAAACCAUAAUUCCGGGUUAACACGAAACCCGGAUCCAGGCCCACAGGCCCUCUAACAAAACUUUCACAAGAAAUCCCAAGAGCUCUCGAAAUCAUAAAAAACCCCAGGGUCCAACACCUAACAACCACGGUCCAUGUGUUCCACGGUCAAUCAGGGCAACAAGAGCCCACGAAUCUCCAAGUAUUAAAGAUGACUACAUCUUCGGUCCAAUCUAAGACCUCACAACUUAUUCAUUUCGACUAAGACCCUCAAGCCUGAAAGCUGAAAGGAAGGUUCCCUGAGUCUCAAUAAAGACUAAGUCCUCGAGACCACCUUUUCUUCACCACAAGUUUGAUUUAAAGAAAAACCCAAAGUUGUCUUUAUUAGCCACAGCAGGGCAACCACGCGAAAAACAAGGAGUAGCAACCAAAGAAAGAGAAGCAUCGUUCAAAGCAAAAGAGACUUAAAAAGAAAUCAGGCCCUCAAGGCUUCACUGACAAAUCCACAUCCAUCUCUGAAGCCGGCGGGAUAGCAGGUUCAUCUUCAAAAGAAGGAGGCGGAUCUCCCUUGUUUUUAGCCUCUUCCAGGACCACCAUUUUAUUCUGAUCCAGCGCCCUGCUCAGAUCCCAUUGGCCGCUCUGCUCGUUUAGCCAUUCCCUCAUCAGUUCCCACCGAGCAACAAUCCUUGCUCCAUUCACGGCCAUCACCAUCUCUAGCUUGAGAGUCUCCACUUCCUCCAACUCCUGGCUCUUCUGGCUCGCUGCUAGCGCACCAGCGGAAUAUGUCUCAGCCACCUUCUCCAGUUCCCUCACCUUAUCCUUAAAGUCACAAAUCUCCAGCUCCGGGGCCGUACGCUGCUCUCUCUCUUCAGACACUUGGCGCUUCAAACUCUCGAGCUCUUCACAAUCGAUCACCAGGUUCUCGUUGGAUAGUCGCUCUUUCAGGUGAUAGAGUUGAGAAGUAACCUGGUCAAACGAAUGUCAGAACUACUAAAGAAAAAAAGAAAGGAGCAGAAUACAAAGAUUUACCUGGAGAAGUCCACCUUGGAGAACCUGGACAACUUCCGAAGGAUCCCCGGCCGGAAGAACAACGCCAUCUUGGGGAAAGACCUUGAAAUUCAGGUUAGCUAAGGCCACAGAUAAACCCCCAGCAUAACGGGCAGCACCAGCUGAUUGAUGCGCAGACCUAGUUGUAACUCCCCCACCUUUAGACUUCUUUCCCUGAGACGAGGAAGUUGGCUCUAACUUCACCAUUGUCGCACGGCGACUACCUGUGAUUAUCACCUCAUCUCCAGACGCGGUCCUACUGGUGGAAUCCUUUUUGGCGGACAUGAUCUUCGCCGCCUCCUGAUAUGCCACGAAAGGAUCGUUGAUAGCGCUCCCAGACAUGUUCCCUGUAAGAAAACUACCGUCAGACACACACUUACUCCAAAGACUACUACGCAACAAUACUGUUUCGCUAACUAGGGAGUUCACUUGACGACGAUCUAAAGGAAGCUGUCGCGCCCGAAGAACAGUACUUUCACCUUCCGCAGGAGCAGGAUGAGUUCCAGCUGCAGAAAGAAUAUAAUGAUAAAAAAAAACGGUUAAGCACUAAAGAACAAUCGGCUCCCCAUGCCUACCUAUGAUGUUCCAUCGAUGAAAGCAUAUCUCUCCGCCCAUUUUUUAUUAAAAACCGGCCAUUUCUAGUCAUUCUUCGGGAGCUCUUCCACAAUCGGCAGGCCUUUACAAGGACGCAGGUGGAAUCGUCCCUCCCCUCCAUUAAGAGGAGCCAGAUGGUAAGCAAACAAAACUUCGUUGAGGCCAAAAGAGAGAUAUUCCAAGUCACCCAGAUUCUGGAUGGCUAUAAGGAUCCUCCAGGCAGGAGGGUUCAGCUGGGAAGGAUAGAUCUCGAAGAGUCCGCAAAAAUUAACAAUGAGUGCUGGGACUACCCCUCUGAAGCCGGAGUCAAAAGGCCUCAUAAACAGUAAUCUCCCCCGGGGUGCAGCUGGAAGCCCUUUCCUCGGAAGCAGGCGCUCGGAGGAAGAUAUGGGAAGGAAGAGAAUACCUCCUCCGCCAUUCCGUCAAGUCAUCGUCAACGACCGUUGAAGCGGGGCCUAUCAAUGUGGGAGCCGCCGGAGCAUAAGUCAGUGGCAGGGGAGCCAUCAGAUUGUAAUCAGAUUCCUCACAUGGGUCGGAAGAACUGUCGAAGUGAGACGCAGAGGAAUCUACCUUCCUCUUCAAUCUGGCUUUAUCAACAACAGAAGGGUCGGAAAGAGCAGAGCGCUUGGACAUAAUUCAAAUUGUUCCUAUUCAACAAGCCGCGAGGAUUGUAAGGAAGUCAAUCUCUAACCCUAACUGACUAAGACGACUCGAUCUACCUAGAGAAAUUCUCAGUAGCAAAGAGAUAGAGGGAUAAAAGGUAAUACCUGAAGUAAAGAUAUCGUCGGCUUGGAUGUAAAGAAGAUGGGGAAAAGCCGAAGCAUAUAAAGGCCAAGAUCGCGUGCUCCGGAAACCUCGGAUCUCGAGAUGAUUUCAAAAUUCAAAUAGCCCUCCUCCGGCGCGUGAGAUAUCAACGGAUCUCCUAUAUUUAUGAAGAAAUCUUUCAGAAAGGGAAAAAAUCUACAUUUCUCCCUGGCAAAUAUUCGGAGCAUCUCUUGCAAGAAACCUCAUAUCAAACCGGUGAAUUCGAGAGCCCUCAGAAGAAAUCAUCAAAUCUCUAGACUCCUCCUUCAAGAACCCAAGGAAACAUUGCCAAAACUGAGUUCUCUGCAGAAAAGCCGUCUCUCGCUUGGGUCCAGAGUAGGACUAUAGCCUAUAAAGAACCCGAGACAUGAGUUCCUAGAACGCUGUCCUGCCCGAGGGAUGCCUGGUGAGAAUGAGCAACCCCGGUUGACUUGAGUGCACAGGUUAUUCCCCGAAAUCGAGAAAUAAGGGGCAAACUGUUGGGGGAAAAAUACUCAGGUACUACUUUCCUCCAGACCCCAGGCAGGAUCCAGACCUCCGGGUCCCCGUUUUAGGAACGCUCAGGAUCCCCAAUAUCGGGUACCCCAGUAUCGGUUCCAGGAACCGCCUCCAGCUCCAAGAAAAGGCAAAUUGUUGAUAAGGAGAACCUUCCAUAUUUCCGAGUAUGGAAGACUUCCAUCUACUCCAACCGACCUAUAGACGACUAUAUAAGGGGAACCCAAACCCUAGAACAAGGGAUCGACUCUUUAGGACUUGAAGGCUAGAAUUAGACUGCUAGACUAGGGUUUCUUGCUUAAUACUUUGUAAUCUCUUCUAGUUCGAUCUAAUAAACGCUUAUUCAAGUCAUAAUCUCUUUUACUACUCCAAAAUCUAUACUAAAUAUCAGCUCAUCCAUCGUUCUGUGGUACUCUAAAACAUCCUACACAAAAAUCUCCUAACAAUUAUAAUUCAUGAAACCGGCUACAAAGCGCAAACACAAAAACUUAAAACCGUAAGAGUACAGUAUGACGUGUCAAGCUAAGAAUCAUUAGGUGAAUGAUGAGGUGGCAGCCUGGUGAAGAGAACAUUCUCCUUUAUAUAUAUAGAUUAUUACUGAAAGCAUUUGAUUACAUAGCCUUGGUUCAUCCUUCUAGCUUUCACAAAACGUUUCCACGGUUCAAGCCGUUUGGCUUUUUGAAGUUCCUUUUCAAUUUUUUUCCACCAUAGCCACCAGCCCUGCAGACGUGAAGCAUGAGAAGUAAUUAUUUACAGAUCAAGCACAACAAAAUCUCCUUUUAGGAUCAACAAACUUUUGAUGCAUUAGCAAAAUCUCUUCUGUGACCUGCAUUAUACCGUCCAACUCUUUUCUCAUUUAUUUCAGCUUAUACGGCUUAUAAAACAUGAGAAGAGAUUACAGGUUAACCAUAAUAGCUAUAUGUUGUAAAAGCAUACAAACUCAGAUGUACAACAUCAUUCUCGCUUACCUUUUUGAAAGACUUAGCUUUAGCCAACGGCUGUAACACGAGAAGGAAAAAUCAGAUGGAGAGACAGACAAAAGAAACAACCGUUGUCCAUAAAAAGUAGAAAAAGCAAAACCCUCAAGACCAAAUAGGUUUCAAGUCCACACAUAUAUCACAACAGAUCAGAUCUCCCAUUUCUUGAGCUCCAUACCAUCAGGAGGAGUGCUCUCGAUUUUCUUAGUUCCAACUUCUUUCUCGUCUGUUGAGAAUACUGUCCCAUUAGAUUCCACCUAUUCGUUGUACAAAAAAAAAAUCGCAAGAGAGUUAAUAAAAAAUGACACAAAAUUUGUAGUCUCCAUGAGAGAAGAAAGACUACAGAAAAGAUAUUCACAAAAUUUUUGCUCAUUGCACGCCUCAUAUCCUCAUCAGCAUUUUAAUAUAUUUCACGGAAGAACUUGUUCAAAGCCGCGUCUCCUUCGAGCUUCUCAUCCUUUUCAUGUUUCUUCACUUCAGCUUCAAGCUUGUCCCAGUCCUUAACACGCUUGGAAGAAGGAUAAGCCAGUCUCAUAGAAACCUCUGCACCAAAGUUCCAAAUGUGAAGAGAGUGUGUCAUUUUAGUAUUGUAAGAUACCAAUAAAGUAGACUUUUUCUCUCCUAGGGGAAAUGACACGUGUCGUCUUUUCAUUGGAUAUAAUUUACGAUUGGGCUUUGUUUACUAAAUUGGAUUAUGUGUUUUCGUUUGAGGACUGGAAUCGCCUCUUCCUCUAGGUCGUUUCUUUUUCUUACGGCCGCCGCAUUUUGCAGAUGAAAGUCGAUGAUAACACCAUGGACGUUACAACGUUUCGCUUUGCUCUUCUUUACUUCGUGUUAAACCGUGAUUUCCCCACUUCUCAGCAUUCAAUCCGUCUCCUUCUCUUCCCUGAGUUACUCAGUAGAGCUUCGGGUAUAAAUACCUCUUCAUCCAGACAUGAGCAUCACAGCUUCGACGAGAACCAGAAGAUCACUCUGUUCAAUUUCUGGUUAUUACAAUGGCGAAUCCCCAAGUCCUUCUUGCCGAUUUGAACGCAGGACGGUGCUCCAACGUUGCGGAGGUUCGGUUACUCCGAUACUGGGAGGCAAGACAUGUUAGGAAAGGUGGUGAACUGAUGAGUGUUGACAUGCUCUUUGUCAAUGAGAAUGUAAGCCUCUUUUCAUAAAUCUGAUUUACAGUUUACUCCAUUAAUAUUCUGGAAAGUUUUACGCUUUUAGGGAUUGUUCAUAUUCUGUAAAGUUUAGUUCUUUUAGCGAUUGUUCCAUAAUCAUUUUCUUAACGUUUUAAUUUCUCUUUACUGACAAUCAACGCUUACGCAAGGAUCUGUUAGUUCAAACCGUCAGCUUAGGUUCAGGAAACGUCUCAGCUAGGGCUCUCUCUACACGUUAACCGGAUUUGACGUCACACGCAGCAACACCAAUUUUCAUUUGUGUUAUGCUCCUUUCUCAAUUCGGUUCAAUGAAGGAACCUCUCUUGAGAAGAUAACGGCGUCUGCUAGGCCCAUACCUACGGAGCUUUUAAGAUUCAUGCCAUAUGGUCAGAUACUUGAGCUCGCAAACACUGGCAAACAACUUCCUGAAGCACAAUUACGGACCGUAUACCAGGGGCACAGCGUGUGAUGCUAACUCUGCGUCUUGAAAGGUUCUUUCUCUUUUACAUAAUGGUUGUUUUAAGGGAUGUUUUUACCGCAUAUCUUCAAUUGACUUUACAUUUUUCUUUCUCUGCAAUGGUGAGAACGUUUGUGUGAGUAUGUUUGACUCCUUGGCUCUUGCGUUUCAUACCAAAUUUGACAGCUAUGGGAGAGAGCCCAAAAUCAUAAUUGCUACAAGCGUGAAUCCUAAGAUAGUUGGGGCCGUUUAUUUUUGAAUGCUACUUCCGGCACACAUCUCUACUUUGACUCUGAGACAGCUGCUGGGAAAAAAGUGUUUGACACCUUGCCAGGUCAGCAGACCUAGGAGCAUUUACUUCGAAGGUAGUUCGUGCACAGAAGAUUGAACCAAUGACCACCUCUGAGCUUAACCAGUUUAUUAUUACUGCUGAUUCUCAGAUAAUAGAGUUUCUUUGCACCGCUAAGUUUACUGGUAUCCAGCAAGAUGACGGUUGGUGUUAUAUUGGCUGCUCCGGGUGUUCCAAGAAACUUGUCUGAGAGAUAUCUUCCUUCGCAUGUGUUUCAUGUAAUGAAACUAAUGCUGUUGCUGCACUCAGGUACCGAAUCACAUUGUCUGUGUCCGACUACACUGAUACCGCAUCUUUCCUAGCUUUUGAUAUGGAGAUGGCUAAACUGACCAACGUUCAAGCUUCUGAGGCUGCUCAGAUUGUGGGGAUAGGUGUUGAUGCUCAGGUUGACACGGAACUUCCUCGGUCCCUUGCUGAUAUUGUUGGAAAACCCUACACUUUCCAGCUCAAACUGAACAUUUCAAUUUCUCCUCAAAGCACCAGACCUUCACCAUUUCUCGCAUCUUUCCUGAGCGAGUGCUUGUGCCCAUGCCAGCCUUUGUGGUAACUGAAGUUGCAAAUGUUCCUGCGGAUGCUCAGGCCGAAGAUGUGGCACAAGGAACAAAUGCCAACGUUGGAAUCACUUCCACUGGAGCAGAUAAGCCAACUAUAUCUGAUGCUUCAACUGGUAAACGUCCACCACCGGCCAAAGACCAAGACGAUGUCGACAAGACUGCCCCGAAGAAGGCACAUGUGGAAUGAGUCCAUCACUCCACAGCUAGAACAACCACAACUGCUUCUGUUUCUAAUUAUGCUUUAGUGUUUCCAUUUUCCCGUUGGACUAUUUCUCUCUCUCUUUUUCUUAUAAAGCAAUGUGUUAUGCUUUAGUGUUUUCCAUAUGGUUUUGAACUAUUUAUCUUUGGCUUUUAAAAAUAUGUGGUUGUUCUUUUUAUUAUAUAAUCUUCUUUUUCUUAUAAAGCAAUGUGUUAUGCUUUAGUGUUUUCCAUAUGGUUUUGAACUAUUUAUCUUUGGCUUUUAAAAAAAAUGUGGUUGUUCUUUUUAUUA